CCCACACUGCCUGUGGACUCAGCAGCUGUGCAUCUCUCCGUCCCUCCCACACACACACAUUCACACACACAUACACACACACUGGAUCUUCAUCUGUGAAGGCGAAGUCUUUCGCAAUGAAUCCAUGGCAGCUUCGAUCGAGCGGUGAGCUGGAGCACCUACAUACAGGCCACUCCUUGAUGUGACUGAAAAGAGGCCUUUUCCAGCACUCUGAAAGGAGAGUGGGGCUGUGGAUUUACCUCCCACACACCUGGGCACCCAGAGUACAUGCACUGCGAGCACCCCUUCCUCAUCCCCUCUCCAGCAUCUCCCUUCCCAUGUGACACUUUGGUGUGCUGUGCUGGGCAGGAACAGGGCUGGGGAAGACUUGGGACAGGCCUUCUUCACAGGAAUAAUUCUGCUUUAAAGUGUGUGGAUAUCUAGAGGAAGGAGGGAAGAAAAGGGACAUAGGGAGCCUGAAGAGAUUUGCAAAGAUUCUGGCUGAGAAGGGGCUGGGAAGAACCCGGAUAGAAUCUGCUCUCAAAGGAAUAAUACAGGUAAACUCCAGGAAGAGGUUAGCCUGGAUUUUCUCACCCCAGACCAGACUGUGGGUAGAAGAGAG
rnacentral:lncRNA from 1 species